rnacentral:rRNA from 1 species
AGCAGCCGCGGUAAUUCCAGCUCCAAUAGCGUAUAUUAAAGUUGUUGCAGUUAAAAAGCUCGUAGUUGAAUUUCGGGAUCAAUUUGCUGGUCGUGCCUCUGGUACGUACUGGUAUUAUUGGUUUCUCCCUUCUGACGAACCAUGAUGUCAUUAAUUUGAUGUCGUGGAGAAUCAGGACUGUUACUUUGAAAAAUUAGAGUGUUUAAAGCAGGCAUUAGCUUGAAUACAUUAGCAUGGAAUAAUGAAAUAGGACGUUUGAUCCUAUUUUGUUGGUUUCUAGGAUUGACGUAAUGAUUAAUAGGGAUAGUUGGGGGCAUUAGUAUUCAAUUGUCAGAGGUGAAAUUCUUGGAUUUAUUGAAGACUAACUACUGCGAAAGCAUUUGCCAAGGAUGUUUUCAUUAAUCAAGAACGAAAGUUAGGGGAUCGAAGACGAUCAGAUACCGUCGUAGUCUUAACCAUAAACUAUGCCGACUAGGGAUCGGAUGAUGUUAAUUU